GUCUGUGGCCAUACUACCCUGAACAUUCCCUAUCUCAUCUCAUUUUGGAAGCUAAGCAGGGACAGUCAUGGUUAGUACUUGAAUGGGAGACCAAAACUCCCAUUUUCAUGGGAGCUAAGGAAA
rnacentral:rRNA from 1 species